UGGAAUAAAAAUUCGGAAUAAUUAAUUUCGAGAUUAGUUAUCCCAGAAUUGUAACCUUAUUUUAUCCCACCUUGAGGUUGAAAUUAGUUAUCCCGGUACAAGUUGUUUCCCAACCAAACGAGCCCUCAGUAGUUGUUUGGUUGGCAAACAAGUUAUCUGAGUAUUUAUCCUAAGAUUACUUGUCCCGAAAUUUAUUAUCCCACCACCCCAUAGAGAUAAAGUAACAGUAAAAUCUAGAGAUAACUAAUUCCAAAUCAGUUAUAUUGCAAUUUUAUUCCAAUCAAACAUGAAAUAAACUAAUGUCAAAAUUAUUUAUCCCUUCAUCACUAGUACCAAACGAGCCCUUAUAUUUUAACACAGAGGGAGUAAAAUCCAAUAUCAUUUUUUUUUUCUAUGUCCCAUAAAUCAGUUUUGACAGAGCAGGGGACCGAUCUAAAAUUUCCAGCAAAUUCAAUCUCAUUGUACGUCUUAUUCAAACAAAGAUAAUGGAUGACCAAGAUCUAGGAUUCUUUGCUAACUUUCUUGGCAUCUUUAUUUUCGUAUCUGUUAUUGCUUAUCAUUAUGUAGUGGCUGAUCCCAAGUACUCAGGCAACUAACUGAUGCCAAGCAGUUCCUUUCUGGUCUCAUAGAGUCGAGCUUUAAUUACUUGAUAUCUUCCAAAUUGUGAACCUGGUAGCACUUAAUCUAAUGCAAACAUUCUGAGGAAAAUGUGCUGGUAUUUGUGUCUGGACGUUGAGCGUUAACGCUGGAAUAUGCAAAAUCAUUGGUAACACUUGGAUUUUAUUUUUGUUCCUGGAGACAGAUUUUAUUUUUGUUCCUGGAGAUUUAAUUUCUAUCUUGAAAGGUAAAUCAUAAUCUUUUGAGCAGCUUUUCCAAUCCUUUAUAUAUCUGAAUGUCAAUACUUCCAUCAUUGGUUUUGUAAUAUUUUGAGACGGGAUGCUCUUUAAA